AGUAAUUUGGGGCAAUUUUGCUUUAAACUUACCCCUGCUCCUUGAUGGCAGGGGCUUCAUGAGGCCCCACUCUGUGGUCACAGAGUGACCUGAUCAGAGCAACACCCGGGAAGGCUCAGCUCUCAGUUUCUACUGGAAGGUAUCUACUUGUAAGUGCUUGUUAAGCAUUCAAUUUUUUACUGCCAUCCGAUUAUGUUGUUGAGUAAGGUAUCAUUCUUCAAGCAAAAGGAAGGAGUAUAGCUUCAGUCAUGCAGACGCUCUAUCUGCUGCUGUGCUUCCUGUUCCUUCCCCAAUGUCACUUGCCACACACACAAGCUGCCUGGGCCCCUUGUGAAGCCCAUCCUACUGUUUGGCCACCCCUUCUUUACAAGGAACAAAUCAUUUUGGUGAGUCUACUACCUCAAAUUUACAAAUGACGUUCCCAUAAAUCCAUAGCCAGCAUUGGAUGGCAUCAACAAGGAGUUAACCAAUAAUCCUUUCACAUACUCGAAGUUCAUAUUCACUGGAAGGAAAAAAAUCAGUAAUUGCCAAAGGAAAAAGGACAAGAUCAGCAGGGAAAGAAAUUUAUUUUCAAGCUUCUAAGAGAGUGCUACAAACAAUAGAGACUAAAAAUCAAGCAUUUAAAACUAUUGAAACAUGUACUUGACAAUGUCCUUAUAAAAAAAAUAAACAUAAAAAUGUAAAAUAAAAAUGCAGUUAAUAAUUCUAAAACUUCUCGAAUAGCAAAAUAAAAGCAUACAGCAUCAAUGAUGAUGAUGGAAACUUACCAGUAGUUUUACUUUUUUCUCUGUUAAUUUGUCAUGUUCCCCCCUUUAUUUAAAUUUAUGUUGGAGAAAUGUGCAAAACUAGCAACAUAUUCUUUGGAUUAUAAACACUGAAAAAUCAACAACCAAAGAAAUCAGAACUAAGUUAAGAAGAAUAAACUACAGACUUAUAUAGAAAGUAUAUAAAGUGAAAUAUUAUGACAAAACAUUGUAUAGCAAAUUUGCUCUUCUGCAAACUCUGAUCUAUACAACAUAGGGAUAUAAUGGGGAAGGUGAAUAUGGAUAUAUAUAGUUAAAACAUUUUUCUUAAUUUGUAAUUAAAUUUAUGACUAACUAAAUACAUGAUCUUUACAUAAAGAAUACAUCAAAUAUAAGAUUUCCUCUUGGGUGAAGCAUAUGGAUACCUGACUGCAAAUAUAGGAUGGGAUUUAUAAUGUAAAAGAUGGAAAAAAAUGCAUAUCAAUUCUAUUUAUUGCCUCUUCCCAUAUUGCAGCUGUUGAGCUCUGAUCCUUAACAGCAAACUAUAUUGAAUUUAGCAGGAUUACAACUGUACACAGAUGCUGAAAAUGUUGAUGCACAGAAGAAAUUCGGAUCCCUUGCUCAUUCUGAACUAGUAUUAAAAGUUAUAGAACAUUUUUAGAUUAAAAGUAUACAUUACACAGAACAACUUACUCUGAAAGAACUCUAUAUUUCUCUUAUUAAGAAUUAAAAUGUUUUGUUUUCUGUAGGUGAUGCAAUUUAACUGCAGUAAACUAAAAGAAACAUUUUUUUAAAGUGCCAGAACCAUAAUUAAUACUCAGAUAAGGUAACUGUCAGGUGGAGCAGUCUAUAGGGAUCUUAUCGUUAAACUGGGUCAGGUGUAAGUCUUUUAAACCCAUAGAAGCUUAGCAUGGAGAUUAACAAGUGUGGGGUAAAUUGUAAGUGCAGCGUAUUGCCAUCCAUUUUUAAAGUUGUUCUGAUAUCCCUAAAAGUUCUACGCUAUAAGAUAAAUACACAUUACAUGGGAAAGUUUAAAAGAAAUUAAAUUAAAUCCAGAGUGCAAUAGUUCUGAAAGGUACUGCUGUACUCUGGAAACAGCCGCAAGCUGUAGCUUGAGACGCUACAAAAUGUUCACCAGACAUUACAGAUUUUUAUCUAAAAACAUUUGUAAAAUGUAUUUGAUUUUAAAUAAUCACUUAACAAGGCAAC